CUCCAACUCAUGAACUCGGGUCUGUUCUCAAAUUCCCAAUUUCUUCUCUUCCUCUCUCUCUCUCUCUCGCUUGGAUAAUUCACUCGAUUUGCAUGUCAAGCAUAUCUCUUGCAUCAACUUCUCUAGAAAUCAGAUUGAAACUUUCACAUAAUUUGUACUGGUGCAGCUGCUAAAGUUUCCAGCUCCAAUGAUCAUGUGGGGAUCAUGUGGGGCAGCAUAAAUCUUCAAAUAAAAGCGAACCGUAUGACAUUGCUAUUGUUGGAUGUGGCCCUUGCUUGUUCCUUGGAUAGGUGAGACUUCGGCAAAUCCUUUUCAUGCGUGCUCAAGAGGAUGGAGAAGCUAGGCCAAAGACCUUAGCUCAGUGAUCAAGCAUGGACAUGUCGGUGAUGAAGGCAGUGACACCCCUUACCAUUGAUGUUGUCACUAUCAGUUUUCCUAUUUGUUAUAUCAAUACAAUUCAUGUUUCUUUAUUGUGCAAUUUUAGUCUCUUGUUGGCCUCAAAAUGGCUAUUAAUGCUCAUUAUCAAAUGUUACUCUGUAGUUGAGAUUGGAAAGUAAUUGGUGUUCUGAACUGGUGUAUGUAUUUUAAAAACUUAUGAGAAUGUAUAUGUGAUCAU